rnacentral:ncRNA from 1 species
GCUUAUUUCGCCCAGGCGGAGCUCGACAGCCCGUUCGGCAAAUGACUGCCUUCAUAGGCAAAUCCCGAGAGUAGUUCGGGGUAGAGCCGGUCUGCCGCGUACCGCCGAUCGCUCC